rfam:Oryza barthii chromosome 11, whole genome shotgun sequence.
CCCCUGGAUGACGAAGAACUGGUGUCGUACAUCCUCACGGGCCUCGACAUCGACUACAAUCCGCUGGUUUCCACCAUGGUAGGUCGAUCUGAUCCAAUCUCCUUGAGUGAUUUGUAUUCUCAGAUGGUUAGCUACGACA